rfam:Nasonia vitripennis chromosome 2, whole genome shotgun sequence.
AUCGCUUCUCGGCCAAAAGGCUUUGAUCAAAGUGUAGUAUCUGUUCUUAUUAGCUUGAUAUCUAAUAGACUCCCUAUCAGGGAGUCGAGAAUAUCGAACAGAUUUUUUGACAAUGACGAAGUGCUGGAGCUUGCUCCGACUUCGCCGCGAGUCGACCUUGCAUUGCAAUACCGCAAGGAACGGCUCACUUUAU